UCCAGUUGAUGGUGCUGGAGGGCACUGCUAUCAGAUUUCGACUAAGCCAUGCAAGUUCGCCUCUAGACUUCUAGAGACGGCAUCCGGCUGAGUAACACGUAGUCAACUUACCCUAAAGACAGGGACAUCCUUGGGAAACUGAGGGAAACCCCAGAUAGAUGAGAAAUACUGGAAUGUUUUUUCAUCCAAAGGAGACGUGAAUUGGAAUGUGUCCCUUUAGGAUAGGACUGCGGGAGAUUAGGCAGUUGGUGGGGUAACGGCCCACCAAACCGAUAAUCUCUAGGGGCAUUGGAAGAUGGAGCCCCCAGAAGGACACUGAAAUAAGGGUCCUAGCCCUACGGGGUGCAGCAGGCGCGAAACCUCCGCAAUGCGCGAAAGCGUGACGGGGGGAAUCUGAGUGGUAACGGCGAGAGUUGUUGCCUUUUUGUUAAGUGUAGAUAGCUUAACGAAUAAGGGACUGGGUAAGACCUGUGCCAGCCGCCGCGGUAACACAGGCAGCCCAAGUGGUGCCCACGAAUACUGGGUCUAAAGCGUUCGUAGCCGGUUUUAUAAGUCCGCUGUGAAAUCCUCAGACUUAAUUUGGGGGCGUGCAGCGGAUACUGUGAGACUUGAGAACGGGGGAGAUUAGGAGUACUCAUAGGGUAGGGGUUAAAUCCAAUAAUCCUAUGAGGACUAACGGUGGCGAAGGCGCCUAAUCAAAACGUAUCUGACGGUGAGGAACGAAGGCCAGGGGAGCGAACGGGAUUAGAUACCCCGGUAGUCCUGGCUGUAAAUGAUGCGCACUAGACGUCGCAGAACCUUAGAGGUCCUGCGGUGUCGUAGCGAAGGUGUUAAGUGCGCCACCUGGGGAGUACGGUCGCAAGACUUAAACUUAAACCAAUUGGCGGGGGAGCGCCACAAGGGGUGGAUGUUGCGGUUUAAUUGGAUAAAACGCCUGGAAUAUCACCAGAGUAGACAGCAGGAUGAAGGCCAAGCUGAAGACUUUGCCAGACAAGCUGAGAGGUGCUGCAUGGCCAUCGUCAGCUCGUGCCGUGAGGUGUCAGGUUAAGUCCUGCAACGAGCGAGACCCGUGCCUUUAUUUGCUAACUCUUUCUCCGGAAAGGGUGCACUAUAGGGGGACUGCCCGUGUUAAAUGGGAGGAAGGUGCGGGCAACGGUAGGUCAGUAUGGCCCGAAUGCUCUGGGCUACACGCGACAUACAAAGGUCAGAAUAAUGGGUCGCUACUCCGAAAGGAGACGCUAAUCUCGAAAUCUGAUCGUAGUCCGGAUUGAGGGCUGAAACUCGCCCUCAUGAAGUUGGAAUCCCUAGUAAUCGCGCGUAAGCAACCCGCGGUGAAUACGUCCACGCUCCUUGCACACACCGCCCGUCAAGUCACCCGAGUGAGGCUUUGGUGAGGCGCAGGUUUAGGCUUGUGUCGAGCCCGAGUUUUGUGAGGGGGGCUAAGUCGUAACAAGGUA
rnacentral:rRNA from 1 species